GCAGUCGAGGGGCAUCACGGAAAAGCUUGCUUUUCUGGUGGCGACCGGCGCACGGGUGCGGAACGCGUAUGGAACCUGCCCCUGUCAGGGGAAUAGCCCAGGGAAACUUGGAUUAAUGCCCCAUGGUACCGCGAUAUCGCAUGAUAUUGCGGUUAAAGAUUUAUCGGACAGGGAUGGCCAUGCGUACCAUUAGUUAGUUGGUGGGGUAACGGCCCACCAAGGCAGCGAUGGUUAGGGGCCCUGAGAGGGGGAUCCCCCACACUGGUACUGAGACACGGACCAGACUCCUACGGGAGGCAGCAGUGAGGAAUAUUGGACAAUGGGCGGGAGCCUGAUCCAGCCAUGCCGCGUGCAGGAUGACGGCCCUAUGGGUUGUAAACUGCUUUUAUACGGGAAGAAAUGCGCCCACGUGUGGGCGUCUGACGGUACCGUAAGAAUAAGGACCGGCUAACUCCGUGCCAGCAGCCGCGGUAAUACGGAGGGUCCGAGCGUUAUCCGGAAUCAUUGGGUUUAAAGGGUCCGUAGGCGGGCCUGUAAGUCAGGGGUGAAAGUUUGUGGCUCAACCAUAAAAUUGCCUUUGAUACUGCAGGUCUUGAGUCAUGGUGGGGUCGCCGGAACAUGUGGUGUAGCGGUGAAAUGCAUAGAUAUCACAUAGAACACCGAUCGCGAAGGCAGGUGGCCAACCAUGUACUGACGCUGAUGGACGAAAGCGUGGGUAGCGAACGGGAUUAGAUACCCCGGUAGUCCACGCCGUAAACGAUGGAUACUAGCUGUGGGGACUUCGGUCUCCGUGGCCAAGCGAAAGUGAUAAGUAUCCCACCUGGGGAGUACGUUCGCAAGAAUGAAACUCAAAGGAAUUGACGGGGGCCCGCACAAGCGGUGGAGCAUGUGGUUU
rnacentral:rRNA from 1 species